CGAAGGGUGCUAGCGUUGUUCGGAAUCACUGGGCGUAAAGCGCGCGCAUGCGGCUUUGCAAGUCAGGGGUGAAAUCCUUGGGCUCAACCCAAGAAUUGCCUUUGAAACUGCAUCGCUGGAGUGUCGGAGGGGAUAGCGGAAUUCCUAAUGUAGUGGUGAAAUACGUAGAUAUUAGGAGGAACACCGGUGGCGAAGGCGGCUAUCUGGACGACAACUGACGCUGAGGCGCGAAAGCGUGGGGAUCAAACAGGAUUAGAUACCCUGGUAGUCCACGCUGUAAACGAUGGAUGCUAGCCGUUGGGGGGUUACCUCUCGGUGGCGUAGCUAACGCGAUAAGCAUCCCGCCUGGGGAGUACGGUCGCAAGAUUA
rnacentral:rRNA from 1 species